CCGUGCAGCCGGGGAGAUAGCGGUGCCCUGUACCUGCAAUCCGCUACAGCAGGGGUGAUGUCUCGCCUCGGAUGCUUUGUUGUGGGGUCAGCCCGUUACAAGUGGCGUUGACGUUGGGGUCUUGCGCAACAGAACUCCGUGAACCGUGUCAGGGCAGGAAUGCAGCAGCACUAAGCGGAAAUUUCUGUGUGCCGCGAGGGCGCCUCGGCCGAGCAGGCUGUAGCGGUAACGCCUGGGGCAAAGCAUACAAAGCGAGACGCACGG
rnacentral:SRP_RNA from 1 species